UCGGGAAUUUUGGGCAAUGGGCGAAAGCCUGACCCAGCAACGCCGCGUGAAGGAUGAAGGUCUUCGGAUCGUAAACCCCUGUCGAAUGGGACGAAUAGCCCGCGAAUUAAUACCUCGUGGGAAUGACGGUACCGUUAAAGGAAGCCACGGCUAACUCUGUGCCAGCAGCCGCGGUAAUACAGAGGUGGCAAGCGUUGUUCGGAAUUACUGGGCGUAAAGGGCGCGUAGGCGGCCAUCUAAGUCAGACGUGAAAUCCCCCGGCUCAACCUGGGAACUGCGUCUGAUACUGGGAGGCUAGAGUUUGGGAGAGGGAUGUAGAAUUCCAGGUGUAGCGGUGAAAUGCGUAGAUAUCUGGAGGAAUACCGGUGGCGAAGGCGGCAUCCUGGACCAAUACUGACGCUGAGGCGCGAAAGCUAGGGGAGCAAACGGGAUUAGAUACCCAUGUAGUCCCUGAGCGGGCUGGCAAGGCGCAU
rnacentral:rRNA from 1 species